rnacentral:lncRNA from 1 species
AGUUUGAUGGCAUCUAAAGAAAUCUGUUGCCAUGCAGUAGUGAGACUCUCCAUGGCAACUUGAAGUCGGGGCCCCUCAGGACUCUGGGGGGGCCACAGUGAGCUCUUCUUCGAACUGCAUCCACCCUCCCUGGGAUGAGCUGCCUCAUGAGGAUCUUUGUCACCAGCGCUUGGGGAGCACCUCCAAAGAGACCCCCUUCUCUGCCCGUGUGCCCCCAUCCAGGACAGCUCCCGUGCCCUUCUGUCUUUGUCUUAAACCCAACCCAGCCAUCCUCAGAAGCUUCCUCCGAGCUGCCCCUUAUGUUGCCUUUCUCAAUCGUUUUGACAAGAAACACCAGCAGGAACAGUCAAGACUUGGAAGAAAUCUGAUUGGGUCAGAAAGAAGGGGGACCUUGGAUAAUGACAGUAAUUGUCACAACUUCCAAUCUUCCUCAAGCUUUAGAGUUCAGGACUCUGGAUCCCCUCACCAAGGCCACGGCACCAGAGAGGAUGAAAAGGGCCGAUGUUGCAUCUCAGCUGCCCUCUUAGCUGACUAGCCGCACGGAAAAAAAGCUCCUGGAUUUUGACUGGCUCUUCCACCUGCUCACCUGCUCCAGCCCUGAGGCAAGAAUGGCUGUGCUACCCAUGUCACCACACCUGAAGCACCCAGCUGCCCUUCCAGGACCAGCCUCAAAUCCAGACAAGUGACAGACUCACGGGGGGCAGGCGCCAGUGUGAGUGGAAAUCACUGGAUCGAUGAUCAAGGGGAUUGUUGCCCAGCUUUCAGUGGCGCGUUGGAGUCUUUUGAGGAAUUCAUCUUGAAACCCGGGAUUUAUUGAGAGCUAAAAGGUUUUUGAAGUUUCCAGUGUU